UUAGCUAAAGCCAAAAUUAGGCAUGUUACUGUUAAUAACCAUUUGGACACUAAAGUCCUUGCUAAG
rnacentral:tRNA from 1 species